rnacentral:rRNA from 1 species
GACGAACCGUGCGAACGUUAUUCGGAAUCACUGGGCUUAAAGGGUGCGUAGGCUGCGAGGAGGGUGGGGUGUGAAAUCCCUCGGCUUAACCGAGGAAUUGCGCUCCAAACCGCCUGGCUGGAGUGAGACAGAGGUGAGCGGAACUAAUGGUGGAGCGGUGAAAUGCGUUGAUAUCAUUAGGAACACCAGAGGCGAAGGCGGCUCACUGGGUCUCAACUGACGCUGAUGCACGAAAGCUAGGGUAGCGAACGGG